CAACAGGGAAACAAGCGCCGACACUGCGGUGCAAGUCUCGGACGACAGUACACCUAAUGCUGGGCAUACACUGUGCGAUUUUUUCAGUCACGUUAUUCAGCUCCUGCUCAAACUGCACGAUUGACUCGCAGGGGAUAUAAGUUCGUAGGUCACGAUGCAGGGUCUCACACUAUACCGCCCGAUGCUCUGAUGCGACCUGAGUGCUCACACUGUGCCUCCAUAAAAUGAAGGUAAUAACAGAAAAUCUGUCGCUCACUCUCCCUCUCUGUCUUUCACUCACACAGACACGCACACCACCACCAUCAACUUUGCUAAAUUGCUAAUGAAAAACAUUGAUCAGGCAGCUGUGAUUGAGCAGCAGUGUAAAUCCAACUAUUUUCACGGUUGUUGUGGUCAUGAUAAUUUUGUGAUGCCACAUCAAAAAGGCUCGGAUGAGCUUUCCAAAGUUCUACAAGUUGUGCCUCCAUCGCUUGUGUCCAGAUCACACGCUGCACAGCCGUGCUGCUCCGUCUUUUUCACCGACCUUUACGUGUUUGUGCGUGAGCAGUGUGAGCUGCUGCGGUGACACCGUCAAGAGCGAUUGAUGAUCGGGAGCUGGUCGUGAGGUGUUAAUCGCUCGCACGUAUACUUACAAGAUGCACGAUGAAGGCCAAAAUCGGGCCGAUCACCAAAUCGGUCGCAUGACUCAAAAAUCGGCUCAAAAUGUGCCAAAAAUUGCACAGUGUAAGCCCAGCAUUAGACCAGCAAUGUUUGUUCCCCUCAGAGAAAGAAAGAAAAGGCUGCAAAAGUACAGGGAGGAAUGGGAAAAGGAAAACACCUGGCUGGAAAAGUGCACGAUAACACCUAUAAAGCGCACUGCACUGUGUGCCGGCGCACUUUUUCCAUAGGCAUGCUUCUAAUGGUGGGCACAUGAAGAACAUGAGGGGCGUGAAAGCUCGGGGAACCCUUAACCAAUUUUUUGUCGACCAGGCCACGGCAGAAGCAGAUAUGGGAAAAGUUCUGACAAAAGCUACACCAGAAAAUCUUGGAGGGUUUGGAUGAUUGCAACCUUUCGGUUCUAAAUGCUGCCAACAUAGAUGAGGUCUUGCUCCACACCCUCAGUAGGGACGAUUUAAGGGACUUGCUUGCAGGGCCUGAAAAUUUUAUGAGGAGGAAACAGUUGUGGGCUCAA